rnacentral:rRNA from 1 species
AUUGAACGCUGGCGGCAGGCCUAACACAUGCAAGUCGAACGAGUGGCGGACGGGUGAGUAAUGUCUGGAAAACUGCCUGAUGGAGGGGUAUCACUACUGGAACCGGUAGCUAAUACCGCAUAACAUCAGAUGUGCCCAGAUGGGAUGAGCGAGUUGGUGGGGUAACGGCUCACCAAGGCGACGAUCCCUAGCUGGUCUGAGAGGAUGACCAGCCACACUGGAACUGAGACACGGUCCAGACUCCUGCGGGAGGCAGCAGUGGGGAAUAUGGCACAAUGGGCGCAAGCCUGAUGCAGCCAUGCCGCGUGUAUGAAGAAGGCCUUCGGGUUGUAAAGUACUUUCAGUGGGGAGGCGUUACCCGCAGAAGAAGCACCGGCUAACUCCGUGCCAGCAGCCGCGGUAAUUC